rnacentral:lncRNA from 1 species
GGAUUUUUGCAGAUUUUCAAAUAAAACUCAGAAUUCCUUGUAUGAUUCUCUCAGGUCUCUCUUUUGUGGUAUUUUUGGAUCCUUACCAAGGCAUUGAUGGUAUAUGCCUUCUCUCAAGAUAUGUGGUAUUUGUGGUAUGAGGCAUAGUAACAUUGCCUUCUCUCUCAUCCUACUCUAAUAAGGCUUUAAUAUCUUUAGCUCAUAGGUGGGAGAUAAAAUAUACAUACUUACAAGACAUGUAUUGCAUAGUCAAACCAUGGAUCCAAAGUAACAAGUCAAUAAGUUUAAUCAAGAUGUGCAUGUGUGGCGAAUGAAUGGUAUAUGGUGAUGAUGGUGAUAACAAUGGUGAAAACAAUGGUGAAAACAAUGGUGGUGAAAGUCUAAUUCUACUUUGCUCUUCUGAGGGGAUACAUACCUUCCUUGCUUUUGAAACUUUAUGAGGAGAAUGAGAUGCUCUUCUUUUUCUUUUCUCUCAGGUGGGUAUCUUGCACCCCUAAUUCUACUGUCGGACACUUGUCCAUUUUUACCUCUCGUCUCACUUUUUCUUUUCUUUCGAGGUUCCGAGCACUUGCUCGUUUUUAUUUUCUCGUAUUAUUCUUCUCUCUCUCUUUUUUUUAGAGCACUCAUCUCUUGAGAUAAUAUAGCAAGUGGUAGUAACAAGAUAACUUGAGCAUUUAUUUCACAAGGAGAAAACAGAAAUAUUUUUGGUUAUUCUCUCCCGGAUUAGGAGUAGAAUAUUUUUAGGUGGUUCUGGAGAUGGAAAUGAGUGGAUGUAUGUGGAUGGUACUUCCAGAGUAGAAGUAGCAUAUAUGAGUGAACGUGCAAGUGAAAUCUUGAUUUAACCACAUGACAAGCUCCUAAGGGUCUACACAGCUUGACUAUACUCAAUGCUCAUAAGCAGUAAAUAGUAAAUGUGUGGCUCAAAGUUUAGCAAGCAUGUAUAUAUGGCUGUGGUAGGAAUUUAAGCUCUCAUCAUACAGGAACUCAUCAUGCAACAUUUUAAAGAUUUUCAAAGAUAAAUUCUCCAGAAUUCUAGCAUCUCUAGGAACAGAUAAACAGCAGCUCAACCUUCCUAUAUCGUAUCCGUUAACAACUUAGACUUCUGAUCAAGUUUUCAUCCCACAAGUUUAGGUCUAGGGCAAGCUUUAAAUUAUAACAGUUAUGUCUAAACUUGAGAGAGAACUUAAAAUAUGCAAAUUAGGCAGAGCAACUAUUCAUCAUAUCCAUGCUUAAGUUUUAUUAGAUACAGAUUAGCAUAGCCACUUUAUUUAUUUAUUUAACACACUAAGCAAAAGACAUAUAUAAGCAUAAAAUCUUUAUUUGGUUUUCCCAUAGUUUAUGUGUAUUAAUAUUCUAAAAUAAUAUAAGUAUAAAGAUAGAUAAAAAUACUUAUCGGAAUAAAUGGGGGUGCUCUCCCCCAAGCUGAAUUUUGACGUAAUUUCUCUCGAUGUAGCUAGCAGGUGGCAGAGGUGUAGUUGAAAGUGAGCAGCAUUCUGACAGCGAUUAGAAUGUCCUCCGUCUGCUAGUCUUCUUGAAUUCUGUGGAGCACAAAUAGACAACAAAGCUUGUGGAACUGAUUAAGUGUUAGCAUAAAUAUAUAGCCUUCAUCAUCUUGAGACUCCUUAAUAAUUAUUAUUCCCUAUUUUUAUAUUUUUAUUUUAUAAAGCAGAAAAAUAUUUAUUUUAUUUUUAUGCCACCACAGUGAAUGUACGUAUGGGUUUUAUGCCACUCGUCUAUUCACAUGGGGCUUACUAUUUUUCACAUUUUUAUUUUCUUUUUAAGACAGUAUGAGCAUGUUUAACUAAGUAAACUAUUUAAAAUAACUGAAAGGGAAAGGGUAACUACCAAGUUUACCUCUUGGCAAGGCGUUCGGUGUUUUUAAGUCCUCCGAACGGGACUCUCCAAUUUCUUAAUCGUCCUGAGGUUCGUUGGGUGGCGUAGUCGGUACUUCCGGCAGCGCCUCCUCUUCUUGUAUAGUUAUCUUCAUUUUCCACACCUGACUCGGUGCUUCAAUCUCCUCUGGAUAAUUCUGUUUAAACUCUACGUCUUCUGACCUUACAACUUCUCCUUCAUAGUCUGCCCAUCCGUCCUUAAUGAUCUGCCUCCUCUGGUUGCGGUUGCGUCGUUUUCUUACCUGCUUAGAUUCUUCAAUGAUAUAGUUAGGGUCAGUAAAAUAACAGCGUACCUUCUCUGAGGGGAAGUGCAUAUGGACUUCUCCGGUUCCAAUGUAGAUAAUGGCUUUAACGGUGCUGAGGAACGGUCUUCCAAGGAUGAUGGGUGGAUCAUACUCGUCUUCUCCCAUGUCAACAACUUGAAAGUCUGUGUAGACAAAAUGAUCGUCUAUUUUGACUGGGACAUCAGAUACUAUUCCUUGAACUUCUCGAAAUGUCUGAUCUGCCAUCUGGAGCUAAAUGUAUGUUCAUCUUAGUGGCAUGGUCCCGAACAAAAGCCGAUAGGUGACUGCGGCCAUUAUGUUGACGCCCGAUCCGGUGUCACAAAUGUCUUAUCUUGAAGUGUUCCUUUUGGAGCAGUAAUGCUUGGCAUUCUUGGGUCGUCCUUCUUGGUCAGCACGGUGACUUAAGUUGGUGAUCUUGGCCUCCAUGGACUACAGUGACCAUCUGAGCUGACUCGGUCCACACUUGCUUGUUCCUGUUCCUCCUGUUGGUCCUCUUCCUUGAUUGACGUCUGGAUUGAUUUGGAAUUUGUGUAGUCUUGUUUUUGAAGAAAAAUGUUUCCUUCUUCCCUUUGACAUAGAAACUGAUCUUAGCAGCACUGGCGUAGAUGAUAGCUCCCGUGGUGUUCAAAAAUGGCCUCCCUAGGAUGAUAGGUGCUCUCUCAUCAUUUCCGGUCUCUACCACUACGAAGUCUGCUGGUGCAUACAAGGUACCAACUCGGACACAAAGGUUCCUCACUAUUCCUUUUGGAAAAGUUAUCGUCUGAUCUGCAAACUGCAAACACAUGGUUGUCUCUAAUAAAGGAUAUGUAAAGAAUUUCUCAUAGAGUACCCUGGGUAUAAUGUUGACACUGGAGCCAAAGUCGCAGAGUGCUUCUGGGAAGUCCACCAUGCCGAUGGAGAUCGGGAUGACGGGGCGUCCUGGAUCGCCUCUCUUGACCGGCAGACGGUCAGUAGAAAAUUCAUUGACGGGGUUACUCCAAUUACCUGCAUCAAACAUGUCUACAAGAUUUGCAGAUGCUAAUCCUUCCGGUUGUGAUGGUAUACCGGGGUUAGUAGUAGGAACAGCAGCAGCUAUCUGAUUUAACUGAGAUUCAAUCAUUUUAUUAAAGCUAAUUUGAUUCUUGAUGGCAGUAGAAAAAUUAUCCAUUCUAUUAUUUAUAUUUUCUAGCAUUUUAUCAUUAGAUGCCAAUUUCUUAGAUAGGUUAUCCAUUAGCUUUCCUUGAUUAGACACUAACUCUCUCAAAGGUGGAAAAUUAUUAUUAUUGUAAGAAUUGUUACCUUGAUAAUUACCUGAGUAGUUAGGCCUCUGUUGAUUCCAACCUUGAUUUUGUUGAGGACGGUUGUAGUAGUAGUAGUUGUUGUUGAUGUAGUUCACAUCCUCAAGUAUCUCAGGGCAGUGGUUGCCUGAAUGUCCAGUGUCUCCACACUCCUCACAAGUCAUGUGAGAGUCGUAGAUGUGCAUAACUUCUUUCUUGUCUCCAGCUUUAUCAUCGACUUUCUUCAUGAGCAGGUCUAGCUUUGCAGACAGCAUGUCUACCUCCUUCAGCUGAUGCAUACGUCCACCUCUCUUGCGUGUCUGGGUCCUCUCUUCAUUCCAUCUUUGAUUGGACGCCAUCUUCUCCACAAGAGCUGUGGCUUGUGGUAUAGUAAGUGAUAAGAAUGCUCCUCCAGCUGCAGCAUCCAUGGUCUCUCGGGCACUGUUGCUGAGCCCAUGAUAGAAUGUCUGCAUCAAUAGCCAACUCUCCAUUCCAUGAUGGGGACAUUCUAGGAUGUAGUCUUGAAAGCGCUCCCAUGCUUCUGGAACAGAUUCAUCAUUUUGUUGCUGAAAACUUGUAAUCUUCCCACGGAGAGCAUUGGUCUUGCCCAUGGGAAAGAACUUUGCCAGGAAGUUUGUUGAGCAGAGUGCCCACGUAGUAUUCUUCUCCUUUGUAGCGUAGAACCACUGCUUCGCUCUUCCUAACAGUGAGAAUGGGAAGAGGCGAAGUAGUAUAGCGUCUUUGGAAACUCCUGCUAUGGUGAAUGUGUUGCAAAUCUCCAGGAAGUGUUGUAAAUGAGCACUAGCAUCUUCGUGUGCCUUCCCACAGAACUGGUUGGAUUGCACCAUGUUGAUAAGUCCAGGCUUGAGCUCAAAGUUGCCAUCGAUCUCUGCAGCAGGUCCAGUGCGGAUGUUGUCCGUAGUGGGAGCUGAGAACUCGCGGAUCGAUUUGUUCGCCAUGGCUUCGAACUCUGAAGACAAGUUCCGGUGAUCUUCUUGAUUGGAUGAAGCUUCUUCGUGAAGUGUUGAUGAUUUCUUUAGCUUGGCCCUCGUCUUCUUGAAUAAUGCUUCAGGAUUGUCAACAAAAUUUCCUGGAAGAUGUCUUCUAUUCAUACAUUCCCCUGCAUAAGAUAAAAUAGAAAAAUAUCGGGGUAAAACUGUAUGAGAGAAUAGAUAAGCUCAAUCAUAUUAGUGAUGCGAAUGAUAACUCAAAAUCUUUUAUUCCAUUCCUGAUUGGUAAUCAACCUUCCCCGGCAACGGCGCCAAAAAUGCUUGUUGGGUAUUCUUAACAUCAUUACCAAAAGUAGACUAAGUUCUAAAUCUAGCAACGGUGCCAAAAAUGCCAAACCUAUCCCUCACACCACUUAAGCCAAGUUGUCAUCCCCAGCAUGACAUGAGAGACGCGGUAUUGAAAUAUGCAAUUGCUCUUCUAAAUAAAUAAUGAAUGGGAUCUGCAAGCGCACAGAUUAAUACGGAUGUAGCAUUUUAACCGGGAAGUAUUCCAGGUAUCGUUAUUUGUAUUUUUACCACUGGGAAGGGAUUAACAAUCAUCACUAUUGAUUACAGAAUAGAAUAUGAGAUUGAGCAUCUAUCAUUGCAUGUAUAAUUGAGAACAUUAUAUCUAACUCUUCAUACAGGGAUAAGUGUCACAUAAUAGAUAUAUGAAAUGAUAAUAGUGACAAGGAUAACUAAUCUGAUCUAGCCACAUAAUAAAUAUGAUAAGCACCUCAAUUAGAUACUCUAGAAAGUCAUUAGCAUGGUAUUAGAACGAACUACAAGAAUAUUCCCUAAGUUAUUCUUAACUAUAUAGUCUAGCAUAUCAUAGUUAGUGCAAGCAUACUUAGCAAUCAUUGCGAGACAAGACUACGCCCAUGCAUAGUGAUACUAGCAAGGAAUAUGAGAAACAUAGCAAUCACUCCCCUGUAAUAAUGUUGCUCUGCCAGCCCAAUACACGAGAGGGGGACUAUAUAAGAAUCAAUGAAGCUGUCACUAUCACGAACUACCCCACGAUCUGGCAUAUUGGGUACAAUCGCAGAUAAAUACGGUAUAAGCACCACGCCUACACAAUAUCUAUCAUUUACCCAUGGAUCCGAUGGAUAAACGCUAUACGAUCCUAAGCAUGUAUAUAGAUCGUAUCUAACUAAGCCAAGUAUAUAACUAUGAUAAACUAAGAACAAUAUAAUCUUGAAUAUAAGCAAAUAGAGCAAAGUCAUAAGCAAUAUAUUGAAGUAGAACAAAGUCAUAUUCAUAAUAUUGAAGAACAAAGAUAAUUAGAAAGCAAUUAGAAACACAAUUAGAGAAUUACCAAGAAUCCUCCUGACAGAUCCGGAAACCAAUCGAAGAUUGACUCCUUCUAGUUCUAAUCCUAUGUAGCUAUGCUAAUCUAGAUAUCUAAUUGAUGUGGUGGCUCUAAUCUUGAUCAGAGGCUUCUUCUCCCUUGAUGGAACAAUGAAUAAGGGUUGAGAGGCUCUCUCCUCCAGGGGCCAGGGGGUUUGGUUUUAUAGUCCCUUCAAGUGAAUAUGGGCCCUUGGAUCAAACCGACAUAGAUUGUAUGGUUUAGAUUCAUCCUUUAGGUCGGUGGAGACUUCCUGCAAAGCAGAGUCCUGAUUGGACUUAGGGGCAGGGCGGGCGCCCAGUUGGACAGGGCGGGCGCCCUGUCUCUGGCCCCGAUUCGCCUCCGCUUCGGUCUCGUGGCUUCUGGAGUCUUCUAGAUGUAAGAUAAUUGCGCAGCACGUUAAUAUCUUUACGUAAUCCUGACAUGUGGGCCUUUCGUCCAUAUUUCCUGAUAACCCCCUGCAGAAAUAGACAAACACCAAAACUCGUGGAAUUCUGUCAGAUAAAACCCUAAGUCUAGAUCUUUAUUUCAUUUGGAUCCUUUUCUUUAUUUAUUUGAUAAUUAAAUUUGAUACUUAAGGACCGUCAACAAACUCCCCCAAGCUUACCUCUUGCUCGUCCCUGAGCAAGGAUAGACUCAGCUAUGGAUCAGAAGUUGCUGCAAUAUCUUUAAAAAUUUGACGGUACACAUGCUCUUAAAUAAGAUCUCAUCUCUGAGUUAGAGUAAACUGUCAAGACUUAAAACUUACUUACUUUACCUUCACUAUGGGACUUGUAACUGUCACUUCUGUCUUGAGUGGUUAAAAGAUAGAACAGUCUAGCCAAGUGCCAUGUCUCUUAUUCUUGAUCAGCUAUAGCUCUGGGAUUUUUGCAGAUUUUCAAAUAAAACUCAGAAUUCCUUGUAUGAUUCUCUCAGGUCUCUCUUUUGUGGUAUUUUUGGAUCCUUACCAAGGCAUUGAUGGUAUAUGCCUUCUCUCAAGAUAUGUGGUAUUUGUGGUAUGAGGCAUAGUAACAUUGCCUUCUCUCUCAUCCUACUCUAAUAAGGCUUUAAUAUCUGGAGCUCAUAGGUGGGAGAUAAAAUAUACAUACUUACAAGACAUGUAUUGCAUAGUCAAACCAUGGAUCCAAAGUAACAAGUCAAUAAGUUUAAUCAAGAUGUGCAUGUGUGGCGAUGAAUGGUAUAUGGAGAUGAUGGUGAUAACAAUGGUGAAAACAAUGGUGAAAACAAUGGUGGUGAAAGUCUAAUUCUACUUUGCUCUUCUGAGGGGAUACAUACCUUCCUUGCUUUUGAAACUUUAUGAGGAGAAUGAGAUGCUCUUCUUUUUCUUUUCUCUCAGGUGGGUAUCUUGCACCCCUAAUUCUACUGUCGAACACUUGUCCAUUUUUACCUCUCGUCUCACUUUUUCUUUUCUUUCGAGGUUCCGAGCACUUGCUCCUUUUUAUUUCCUCGUAUUAUUGUUCUCUCUCUCUUUUUUUUAGAGCACUCAUCUCUUGAGAUAAUAUAGCAAGUGGUAGUAACAAGAUAACUUGAGCAUUUAUUUCACAUGGGGAAAACAGAAAUAUUUUUGGUUAUUCUCUCCCGGAUUAGGAGUAGAAUAUUUUUAGGUGGUUCUGGAGAUGGAAAUGUGUGGAUGUAUGUGGAUGGUACUUCCGGAGUAGAAGUAGCAUAUAUGAGUGAACGUGCAAGUGAAAUCUUGAUUUAACCACAUGACAAGCUCCUAAGGGUCUACACAGCUUGACCAUACUCAAUGCUCAUAAGCAGUAAAUAGUAACUGUGUGGCUCAAAGUCUAGCAAGCAUGUAUAUAUGGCUGUGGUAGGAAUUUAAGCUCUCAUCAUACAGGAACUCAUCAUGCAACAUUUUAAAGAUUUUCAAAGAUAAAUUCUCCAGAAUUCUAGCAUCUCUAGGAACAGAUAAACAGCAGCUCAACCUUCCUAUAUCGUAUCCGUUAACAACUUAGACUUCAGAUCAAGUUUUCAUCCCACAAGUUUAGGUCUAGGGCAAGCUUUAAAUUAUAACAGUUAUGUCUAAACUUGAGAGAGAACUUAAAAUGUGCAAAUUAGGCAGAGCAACUAUUCAUCAUAUCCAUGCUUAAGUUUUACUAGAUACAGAUUAGCAUAGCCACUUUAUUUAUUUAUUUAACACACUAAGCAAAAGACAUAUAUAAGCAUAAAAUCUUUAUUUGGUUUUCCCAUAGUUUAUGUGUAUUAAUAUUCUAAAAUAAUAUAAGUAUAAAGAUAGAUAAAAAUACUUAUCGGAAUAAAUGGGGGUGCUCUCCCCCAAGCUGAAUUUUGACGUAAUUUCUCUCGAUGUAGCUAGCAGGUGGCAGAGGUGUAGUUGAAAGUCAGCAGCAUUCUGACAGCGAUUAGAAUGUCCUCCGUCUGCUAGUCUUCUUGAAUUCUGUGGAGCUCAAAUAGACAACAAAGCUUGUGGAACUGAUUAAGUGUUAGCAUAAAUAUAUAGCCUUCAUCAUCUUGAGACUCCUUAAUAAUUAUUAUUCCCUGUUUUUAUAUUUUUAUUUUAUAAAGCAGAAAAAUAUUUAUUUUAUUUUUAUGCCACCACAGUGAAUGUACGUAUGGGUUUUAUGCCACUCGUCUAUUCACAUGGGGCUUACUAUUUUUCACAUUUUUAUUUUCUUUUUAAGACAGUAUGAGCAUGUUUAACUAAGUAAACUAUUUAAAAUAACUGAAAGGGAAAGGGUAACUACCAAGUUUACCUCUUGGCAAGGCGUUCGGUGUUUUUAAGUCCUCCGAACGGGACUCUCCAAUUUCUUAAUCGUCCUGAGGUUCGUUGGGUGGCGUAGUCGGUACUUCCGGCAGCGCCUCCUCUUCUUGUAUAGUUAUCUUCAUUUUCCACACCUGACUCGGUGCUUCAAUCUCCUCUGGAUAAUUCUGUUUAAACUCUACGUCUUCUGACCUUACAACUUCUCCUUCAUAGUCUGCCCAUCCGUCCUUAAUGAUCUGCCUCCUCUGGUUGCGGUUGCGUCGUUUUCUUACCUGCUUAGAUUCUUCAAUGAUAUAGUUAGGGUCAGUAAAAUAACAGCGUACCUUCUCUGAGGGGAAGUGCAUAUGGACUUCUCCGGUUCCAAUGUAGAUAAUGGCUUUAACGGUGCUGAGGAACGGUCUUCCAAGGAUGAUGGGUGGAUCAUACUCGUCUUCUCCCAUGUCAACAACUUGAAAGUCUGUGUAGACAAAAUGAUCGUCUAUUUUGACUGGGACAUCAGAUACUAUUCCUUGAACUUCUCGAAAUGUCUGAUCUGCCAUCUGGAGCUAAAUGUAUGUUCAUCUUAGUGGCAUGGUCCCGAACAAAAGCCGAUAGGUGACUGCGGCCAUUAUGUUGACGCCCGAUCCGGUGUCACAAAUUGUCUUGUAGAAGUUGUAUCCAUUUAUGGAGCAGUAAAUGCUUGGCAUUCCUGGGUCGUCCUUCUUGGUCAAGCACGGUGACUUAAGUUGGUGAUCUUGGCCUCCAUGGACUACAGUGACCAUCUGAGCUGACUCGGUCCACACUUGCUUGUUCCUGUUCCUCCUGUUGGUCCUCUUCCUUGAUUGACGUCUGGAUUGAUUUGGAAUUUGUGUAGUCUUGUUUUUGAAGAAAAAUGUUUCCUUCUUCCCUUUGACAUAGAAACUGAUCUUAGCAGCACUGGCGUAGAUGAUAGCUCCCGUGGUGUUCAAAAAUGGCCUCCCUAGGAUGAUAGGUGCUCUCUCAUCAUUUCCGGUCUCUACCACUACGAAGUCUGCUGGUGCAUACAAGGUACCAACUCGGACACAAAGGUUCCUCACUAUUCCUUUUGGAAAAGUUAUCGUCUGAUCUGCAAACUGCAAACACAUGGUUGUCUCUAAUAAAGGAUAUGUAAAGAAUUUCUCAUAGAGUACCCUGGGUAUAAUGUUGACACUGGAGCCAAAGUCGCAGAGUGCUUCUGCGAAGUCCACCAUGCCGAUGGAGAUCGGGAUGACGGGGCGUCCUGGAUCGCCUCUCUUGACCGGCAGACGGUCAGUAGAAAAUUCAUUGACGGGGUUACUCCAAUUACCUGCAUCAAACAUGUCUACAAGAUUUGCAGAUGCUAAUCCUUCCGGUUGUGAUGGUAUACCGGGGUUAGUAGUAGGAACAGCAGCAGCUAUCUGAUUUAACUGAGAUUCAAUCAUUUUAUUAAAGCUAAUUUGAUUCUUGAUGGCAGUAGAAAAAUUAUCCAUUCUAUUAUUUAUAUUUUCUAGCAUUUUAUCAUUAGAUGCCAAUUUCUUAGAUAGGUUAUCCAUUAGCUUUCCUUGAUUAGACACUAACUCUCUCAAAGGUGGAAAAUUAUUAUUAUUGUAAGAAUUGUUACCUUGAUAAUUACCUGAGUAGUUAGGCCUCUGUUGAUUCCAACCUUGAUUUUGUUGAGGACGGUUGUAGUAGUAGUAGUUGUUGUUGAUGUAGUUCACAUCCUCAAGUAUCUUAGGGCAGUGGUUGCCUGAAUGUCCAGUGUCUCCACACUCCUCACAAGUCAUGUGAGAGUCGUAGAUGUGCAUAACUUCUUUCUUGUCUCCAGCUUUAUCAUCGACUUUCUUCAUGAGCAGGUCUAGCUUUGCAGACAGCAUGUCUACCUCCUUCAGCUGAUGCAUACGUCCACCUCUCUUGCGUGUCUGGGUCCUCUCUUCAUUCCAUCUUUGAUUGGACGCCAUCUUCUCCACAAGAGCUGUGGCUUGUGGUAUAGUAAGUGAUAAGAAUGCUCCUCCAGCUGCAGCAUCCAUGGUCUCUCGGGCACUGUUGCUGAGCCCAUGAUAGAAUGUCUGCAUCAAUAGCCAACUCUCCAUUCCAUGAUGGGGACAUUCUAGGAUGUAGUCUUGAAAGCGCUCCCAUGCUUCUGGAACAGAUUCAUCAUUUUGUUGCUGAAAACUUGUAAUCUUCCCACGGAGAGCAUUGGUCUUGCCCAUGGGAAAGAACUUUGCCAGGAAGUUUGUUGAGCAGAGUGCCCACGUAGUAUUCUUCUCCUUUGUAGCGUAGAACCACUGCUUCGCUCUUCCUAACAGUGAGAAUGGGAAGAGGCGAAGUAGUAUAGCGUCUUUGGAAACUCCUGCUAUGGUGAAUGUGUUGCAAAUCUCCAGGAAGUGUUGUAAAUGAGCACUAGCAUCUUCGUGUGCCUUUCCACAGAACUGGUUGGAUUGCACCAUGUUGAUAAGUCCAGGCUUGAUCUCAAAGUUGCCAUCGAUCUCUGCAGCAGGUCCAGUGCGGAUGUUGUCCGUAGUGGGAGCUGAGAACUCGCGGAUCGAUUUGUUCGCCAUGGCUUCGAACUCUUAAGACAAGUUCCGGUGAUCUUCUUGAUUGGAUGAAGCUUCUUCGUGAAGUGUUGAUGAUUUCUUUAGCUUGGCCCUCGUCUUCUUGAAUAAUGCUUCAGGAUUGUCAACAAAAUUUCCUGGAAGAUGUCUUCUAUUCAUACAUUCCCCUGCAUAAGAUAAAAUAGAAAAAUAUCGGGGUAAAACUGUAUGAGAGAAUAGAUAAGCUCAAUCAUAUUAGUGAUGCGAAUGAUAACUCAAAAUCUUUUAUUCCAUUCCUGAUUGGUAAUCAACCUUCCCUGGCAACGGCGCCAAAAAUGCUUGUUGGGUAUUCUUAACAUCAUUACCAAAAGUAGACUAAGUUCUAAAUCUAGCAACGGUGCCAAAAAUGCCAAACCUAUCCCUCACACCACUUAAGCCAAGUUGUCAUCCCCAGCAUGACAUGAGAGACGCGGUAUUGAAAUAUGCAAUUGCUCUUCUAAAUAAAUAAUGAAUGGGAUCUGCAAGCGCACAGAUUAAUACGGAUGUAGCAUUUUAACCGGGAAGUAUUCCAGGUAUCGUUAUUUAUAUUUUUACCACUGGGAAGGGAUUAAUCAAUCAUCACUAUUGAUUACAGAAUAGAAUAUGAGAUUGAGCAUCUAUCAUUGCAUGUAUAAUUGAGAACAUUAUAUCUAACUCUUCAUACAGGGAUAAGUGUCACAUAAUAGAUAUAUGAAAUGAUAAUAGUGACAAGGAUAACUAAUCUGAUCUAGCCACAUAAUAAAUAUGAUAAGCACCUCAAUUAGAUACUCUAGAAAGUCGUUGGCAUGGUAUUAGAACGAACUACAAGAAUAUUCCCUAAGUUAUUCUUAACUAUAUAGUCUAGCAUAUCAUAGUUAGUGCAAGCAUACUUAGCAAUCAUUGCGAGACAAGACUACGCCCAUGCAUAGUGAUAUUAGCAAGGAAUAUGAGAAACAUAGCAAUCACUCCCCUGUAAUAAUGUUGCUCUGCCAGCCCAAUACACGAGAGGGGGACUAUAUAAGAAUCAAUGAAGCUGUCACUAUCACGAACUACCCCACGAUCUGGCAUAUUGGGUACAAUCGCAGAUAAAUACGGUAUAAGCACCACGCCUACACAAUAUCUAUCAUUUACCCAUGGAUCCGAUGGAUAAACGCUAUACGAUCCUAAGCAUGUAUAUAGAUCGUAUCUAACUAAGCCAAGUACAUAACUAUGAUAAACUAAGAACAAUAUAAUCUUGAAUAUAAGCAAAUAGAGCAAAGUCAUAAGCAAUAUAUUGAAGUAGAACAAAGUCAUAUUCAUAAUAUUGAAGAACAAAGAUAAUUAGAAAGCAAUUAGAAACACAAUUAGAGAAUUACCAAGAAUCCUCCUGACAAAUCCGGAAACCAAUCGAAGAUUGACUCCUUCUAGUUCUAAUCCUAUGUAGCUAUGCUAAUCUAGAUAUCUAAUUGAUGUGGUGGCUCUAAUCUUGAUCAGAGGCUUCUUCUCCCUUGAUGGAACAAUGAAUUAGGGUUGAGAGGCUCUCUCCUCCAGGGGCCAGGGGGUCUGGUUUUAUAGUCCCUUCAAGUGAAUAUGGGCCCUUGGAUCAAACCGACAUAGAUUGUGUGGUUUAGAUUCAUCCUUUAGGUCGGUGGAGACUUCCCGUAAAGCAGAGUCCUGAUUGGACUUAGGGGCAGGGCGGGCGCCCAGUUGGACAGGGCGGGCGCCCUGUCUCUGGCCCCGAUUCGCCUCCGCUUCGGUCUCGUGGCUUCUGGAGUCUUCUAGAUGUAAGAUAAUUGCGCAGCACGUUAAUAUCUUUACGUAAUCCUGACAUGUGGGCCUUUCUUCCAUAUUUCCUGAUAACCCCCUGCAGAAAUAGACAAACACCAAAACUCGUGGAAUUCUGUCAGAUAAAACCCUAAGUCUAGAUCUUUAUUUCAUUUGGAUCCUUUUCUUUAUUUAUUUGAUAAUUAAAUUUGAUACUUAAGGACCGUCAACAGGCCACUUGUCUGAGGAUGAUAGGGGGUAGCGACGUUGUGACGGAUUCCAUGUUUUGAUAGAUAUUGCUUAAAGCGUUUGUCGAUGAAAUGUGCUCCUCCAUCACUUAUCACUACUCUGGGGACUCCAAAUCUUGGAAAUAUAAUUUCUUCAAACAUCCUCUUUGAACUGAUGUUGUCGGCAUGCUUGCAAGGUAAUGCCUCUACCUACUUGGAGACGUAGUCAACUGCCACCAAAAUGUACUCACACUUCUUUGAUGGAGGAAAUGGACCCAUAUAGUCUAUUCCCCAGACAUCAAAGAGCUCAAUCUGAAGGUUGUUGGUGAGUGGCUAGCAUCUCUUGUGUUUAUUUUUCUGUGCCUUUGACAUGGCCCACAUUUUCUGAUAUAUUGCUUCGUGUCUUCAUACAUUGUAGGCCAGUAGAAUCCACACUGCCAGAUCUUUCAAUGUGUACGAAAUGCUCUAUAAUGACCUCCAUAUGGUGAUGAAUGACAUCUGUCGAUAAUCUUCCAUCCUUCCUCAGUGGUCACACAUCUCCUGAGUAAGCUAUCAGAGCAUACUCGGAAGAGGUAUGGCUCAUCCCAUAUAUGUGAACGACUUUCUUGAAUAAGCUUCUUCUUGUUUGCUCCUGGCGGUACAUACCCUGAAACCAUAAAAUUAACAAUAUCUGCAUACCAGGGGUCAGACCUGUUAAUCCCGUAGAGCAUGUCGUCCCGGAGUGAAUCAUUGAUGGGGGAUUCCUGUGGAAUCUUAAAAUACAUUCUAGACAAGUGAUCUGCAACAGAAUUUUCUACUCCCUUUUUAUCUUAUAUUUCUAAGUCAAAUUCAUGGAGUAAUAAGAUUCAUCUAAUCAGGCGAGGUUUAGCAUCUUUUUUAGUGAGCAAAUAUUUUAGUGCAGCAUGAUCAGUGUAAACAAUUAUUUUAGCUCCAACUAAAUAAGAUCUAAAUUUAUCAAUGGCAAAGACAACAGCCAGAAGCUCUUUUUCAGUGGUUGCAUAGUUAAGUUGAGCUCCUGUCAAAGUUUUACUGGCAUAAGCAAUUGCAUGAUGCUUCCUAUAUUUAGUUUGUCCCAAUACUGCCCCCACAACAUAAUCACUAGCAUCACACAUAAUUUCAAAAGGCAACGACCAAUCAGGGGGUUGAAUGAUUGGUGUAGAGAUGAGUGCUUUCUUUAAUAAAUUGAAAGAUGUUAGACAUGCAUCAUCAAAUUCGAAAGGAGCAUCCUUGGCUAGCAAAAGAGUAAGUGGUCUAGCAAUGAAUGAAAAAUCUUUUAUGAAUCUACGAUAAAAACCAGCAUGGCCAAGAAAGCUUCGAAUUCCUUUUAUAUUCACAGGUGGAGGUAGUUGUUCAAUUACUUCAAUUUUAGCUUUGUCUACAUGAAUACCUCUUUCAGACACUAGGUGUCCCAGCACUAUUCCUUCUCUAACCAUAAAAUGACAUUUUUCCCAAUUAAGGACUAAGUGCUUUUCUUCACAUCUUUGCAAAACCUUGUCUAAGUUUUCAAGACAACUAUCAAAAGUUUUUCCAUAAACAGAGAAAUCAUCCAUGAAAACUUCCAUAAUCUCUUCAAUCAUAUCAGAAAAUAUAGACAUCAUGCAUCUUUGAAAAGAAGCUGGUGCAUUACAUAACCCAAAAGACAUUCUACGGUAAGCAUAAGUUCCAUAUGGGCAAGUAAAAGUGGUUUUGCUUUGAUCAUCGGGAUGGAUCGGGAUUUGAUGAUACCCUAAAUAUCCAUCAAAGAAACAGAAGAACGAAUGGUUCGCUAAUCGCUCUAGCAUCUCAUCUAUGAAACGUAAAGGAAAGUGAUCCUUUCUCGUGGCUUUGUUUAGUUUUCUAUAGUCUAUGCACAUCCGCCAUCCUGUGACGGUGCGUUGCGGAAUUAGCUCGUUCUUUUCAUUCAUAAUAACAGCCAUGCCUCCCUUUUUAGGCAUAACUUGAACUGGGCUCACUCACUCACUAUGCGGCAUAGGAUAUAUAAUCCCUACAUGCAGCAACUUUAUAAGUUCCUUUUUAACUACCUCUCUCAUAGUGUUGUUAAGUCUUCUUUGGGGUUCUCGAGAAGGUGAAACAGAAGGAUCUGUUGGAAUACGAUGGGUACAAAUCAUAGGACUGAUUCCUGUAAGAUCUUGGAGUGAGUAGCCGAAAACUGAGUGAUGUUUCUCAAGAAUGGUAAUUAAUCGCAGAGUUUGCUCCUGAGUGAGUUUAUCGCUAAUGAUCACAGGAAACUCUCGAUUAUUGUUUAGGAAAGCAUAGAUAAGACCGGGUGGUAAAGUUUUAAGCUCUAUGGGGGGUCUAGGUGUUUCUGCAAACUCAUCUAAGGGUUCAGGUUCAGAAGGUUCGGCUUCUUCUUCUAUGAAGAAAGGAGUUUUGUCUUCUAAGUCUGAUUCUUCUAAUAGCUCUAGAGAUGCAGCCUUUACCUCCUCCAUAGGAUCAGGUAAAAGAUAUGACUCGGCCUUAUUAUUCAAAGAGUGUGAAAUUGUUAUUGGGAUUUUAAAAGCUUUUCCAAAAGAAAUGUGUAGCUUUCCAGUAUGACCUUCAUAAAGGAGUCUUCUAAAAGGUUGUCCUAUCAACAGGUCGAAGUCCCAUGUAUCAAAGAUAUAGAAGUCCAAAUGAACCAUGGAGCCUUCUACUGUAAGAGGUAGGACAUUAAUAAUUCCAAGACUGGGGACUAAUCGUCCCGAAGAUUCCUUUAUGACCUUUGUUGUGGGGGUUAAGACAAGAUUUUUAAAUAGUUUAAGUGCAAAAGUGUAGCACCCGGUUUUAAGAACAAAACCAGAUACACACCAUAUGUGAGCCCAGGAAGUCAAAUCUCACAUAUAGCCACAAAUAGGGGUAAUAUCAAUAGACAAUGCUUAUAUAUAACGAACUUAGUAUAAAAGAUAUAACCUUAGAUAGCAAACAGCGGAAAGACACUCCGUUCUUCAGGCGAAAGCUCCAAAUCCACAGGGACAACUGACUGGUUGAGCACAAGCCUAAACUCUUUUCCAAGCUUGCAAUCUGGUACCCAUCCGGGAUUUUUAUCCAAAUAAAAUGUAAAGGCAAGCAUAAGUACAUCUCGUACUCAGCAAGAAUAACAUAGGGUUCAUGAGGCUCAAAGGCUAGACAAUGGUUUAACUGCAUGUAGCUUUUAGUUGUCACAAUUUUAGCAUAUGAGUAGCAUCAAGUUGUCAAGUCCCAUAGUAAACUUAUGAUCAGGUAAAGUGAAUAAAGAAUAGCAUAAACAACAUUUUAACAAUAAUAACAUUUAAUGAAUUGCCAUUAGUGUUCAUUUAUUCUGUAUUGGUCUAAGGCCGCUCGUGACCGUGAGCACGGCUGAUAUAUCAGUUUUACACUCUGCAGAGGUUGUACACUUUCACUGUGAGUCGUGAUUUACCCUUUCGCCCGAGGUGAUCAGCCCCUUAGCCUACUCCCUAGGAAGACCGGCAGGGUUCACUAUGAAGCCUUUCAAAGGUUCGUCUAACAAGUUAGGGCCGCUAGGUUUUGUUAGUCAGUCCGUGACUCACCCGCAGGAAUCCACGGUCUGCUAUCCCCCACUUGCGCCACAAGGAUAACCACUAACAAGCUAGAAAAGGUCCUCAUACUGAGCUAAAGCCAGAGCCAUGUAGCCCUCACAGUUGUACUAUAUGUCCCGGAUGGUCAGAUACAGAUAAGUCCUUAUGGAGAGAAACUAGAGCACCAUAAGAUAGCCCAAUGCUCCAGCCCUCUUUUUCCAACGUUGCUAAAAAGUCAUCUUUUAAUGUUUAUUGCAUAAUCCUUUAGUCAAAUUACAAGAUCAUGGUUUAGUGGAGCACUAGCAUAAGCUACCCAAUGCAUAACCAUAGGUGACAAGGUAUGAGAUCAAUACUAGGAAAUCCUUAUCAAGGAGACACAUGCAAUAUGAAUUGUGUGAUUAAAGUUAUUAGGAAACAAGGAUGAUCCCAUGCUAUACUUGCCUUGAAACUCAGAUCUUCUUUUAGUUCCAAAUUUUCCACAAUCUGCUUCUUGAUCACCACGUAAAAGCUCACCGACUAAACUCAGUCAUCACAUCAACAACAAUCAUCCAGAGGCAAUCAUACAAAGCAAAACAAACCUAUAAUUAGAACAAUACACCAACAGUAGCCAAUAAAGGUAAAAAAUUUAUAAAACAAAUCUACAUCGCACUACGAUCACAUAGACGUGAAGAUCACAAAAAUCGGAGCUAUAACGAAGAAGUUAUGAUUUUCCUAAGAUUUCCUUUAAUAAAUUAAUUAAAUAGGAUCAUGAAAAUAAAAGGUUGUAAACUUGUAAAACAGUAGCACUAAUAUAUAGAUUACGCGAAAACGAAUCUAACACAACUUGAACGGAUCAAAACGGAGUUUAAACGAAGAAUAUAUGAAUUUUCUAAGAUUUUCUUUAGAAAAACAAUUAAUUAAUUUGGUUCAGGGAAUUAAAAAGUUUCAAACUAAGAAAACAGUGUUACUAACAUGUAGAUCUUUUGAAUACAAAACCAACGCAAUUUGAACGAGUCAAAACGGAAUUAAGAUGAAUAUUUUAUGAGCAAUAUAAAACCAGUGGCAAUUUGGUAAUUUGCUGAAAACGUAUUUUGAAUCUGAGUACUGAGUUUACGUCUUCAAAGUCGGAAAGCGUAUUUGUGAAAUUACGUUUUGGACUGCGGGUUAGAUCUUUAAAAACCAGGGGGGCUCUUUUGCAAAAAUCGCGGCCGAAGGGGUAUCCUUCGAUCUCGGCCGUUGGAUAUCAAUUCGAUGGUCAAGAUUAGAUCGCAGGGGGUUACUGAGUUGGCCGGCCGGAGUUGGACGGCCGCGGCGGCUCCAUGGCCGACCUUGGCCGGAGUUGGCCAAUCUGGCGACCCCGAGCGGUAGAACGCGAGCUAAACACAUGGGAUCGCUCAGGAGCUCGGUGCGAACUCACCUGGGGCAAAAACCACGACGAAGAGAGGCCAGCUAGGGCUCACGACGACGAACGGCGGACGGCGGCUCUGCAAAGACGUUCGGCGAAGGUUAGGCACCCGUUGGAAGCAAAAGAACGCGAACGAAACGACUCGGCGACUUCGCAAGAACGAGGAGAAGGUCGGCAAGUCGCUCACGGUGGCCAAGACGCGACACAGCGGCGAAUUGCUUUCGGCGUGGAUCGCGGCGGCGAGAAUCGGCGGAAACUGCACGGCGGCUGGUGCUCGGGUUGAGAUAGGGGUUGCGGGGCAGCGGGGCGGGUAUAUAAAGGGGAGAAGACGCGCGGGGAAAGGACUGCUCGCGCGAAUCGUGCGCGAUUGUUGCGGCUCGGGCUCGUGUCCUGCUCGGACACGAGGUAGGGGACGGCUCCGACAGCUGGGCCCCACCUGGCAGUGACACGAGGCGUGGGCCAGCUCUGUCAGCGACCGCAGCGGAGAGGAGGGCGCGCGGCUCGCUGGGCUGCACUGAGCGGGCCGGAAGCUGGCGUUGGGCCGCUGCGAGAAAGAAAGGGGGAAGGGGAAGGAAGACAGGCCGGGCCGAAGGAAAACAGGGGGGAGUGGGAUGUGGGCCUCCGGCCAAAACCAGUGGGUCUUCUCUUUUUAUUUUCUGUUUCUCUUUUCUUUUAAUAAAACAAACCUAUUUCAAAACAUUUUCAAAACCAAAUUUGAAUUUCUUUUCAAUCUUUCAGCCAAAACUACUCAUCACAAUAAAUCAAUGCAAAGGCAUGCUCAAACAAGUUGCUAGCUCCUUUGAUAAAUUUUAAUUUAAAGAAAAAUAUUAUUUUUCCUAUAUUUCAUGGGCACAAAAAUACACAAGUUAUCAAUUUAUCCUAUUUUGGAAAAUUGCAAAUUUUGGGGUGUUACAAUUCUACCCCCCUUAAAAUGAAUCUCGUCCUCGAGAUUCGGUUGGUGCUUUCUCAAACCACUGCGGGUAUGUUUUUCUUAGAUCCUCUUGUCUUUUACAAAUAGCCUCCUCUUCGGUGCACUGAUUCCACUGGACUUUGUACAUCCUAACAAUCCAACUCCUGGUCACCUUUUCUGUUGUUUCUAAAAUUCUCACCAGGUACUCUUGUAUGUGAAAUCUGAUUUAACAGUCAGUUCUUCUAACGACAUCUGCACUUAUGACACGCGCAAGUAUUUUUUUUAAGUUGAGACACAUGGUAGACAUCAUACACUCCUUCUAAACUUUCAAGUAGCUCUAUUUGGUAAGUCACUUUGUUUCCAUAUUUCUAACAUCUUGAAAGGCCCGACAUACCUUGGUACUAACUUUCCUUUGAUAUUAAACCUCCACACACCUCUCUUAGGUGGCACCUUCAAACACACGUAGUUUCGCACUUCAGAUCUAAUUAUCUUCUUAGAUGUCAAGAUAACUCUUAUGUCGAGUCUGUGCCAUUAUCUUUGAUCACUCUCACUUGCUGUUCUGCAUCACUUAGAACUUCUAGCCCAACACUUGUGUUCUCCUGUUUGAUUUCAAAUCAACAGGGUUCUACACUUACAUCCAUACCAGCUUUCAAAAGGCUCCCACUGAAGGCUCUUCUACUAACUGUUGUUCUAAGAAAACUUCGCAUACGAUGACCUCUUUGUACCAUACUGCAAUACACCAGCUCACAACAUAUCUCCUAAGUGAUCUUUUCAAUUCCUGUGGUUCCCAAAAAGAGUAUUAGUAGAGCUCAUUUGGCAGUACUAGUGACAUCACCCAGUUCAACACUCAACCCUUCAAAUUUCAGUGUCAUUUGAACUCCUCUAGCACACUCUUUAUGCUCUGAGCAUUCACAAAGGCUUUUUCUCCUUCAAGUGAUAGCAUUUUUUUUCCCCAGUCAUAACUCUUGAUUCACUCAAAUCCAUCAAUGAUGUGACCAGCUCAAAUCCAAUUUCCUAAAGAUGCCCUUUAGAUACUUACAUUCUACGCAGAUAUCACUCCUACAUUCAAGAGGAUAGUAUCUCCAUGAUCCACUAUGGGUACCUCCACAUUACAUGUCAGUUAAUCCAACCCACUUAGUUGACUUACGCAUAAGCCACUGCUUUUCUCGUAUAGAGCACAUCCAAAGUCUGGAUGGGAUAUAUAAGCACUCUUACAUCAAUCUUUAUGACACCUUUGAUAAACCACUUAUAGAAUUCUUGUUAUUCCAAAUCAAUCUCUUAGUCACUCUUAUGGCCAGAUCACAUUGGCUCCAGCAAACCUAUGAUAACCUCUUGCCAUAUCUAUAAUACUCUAAGUCUCAUUCACUUUCCUUUGGUGGUUUCCAACUCUUGUAUCUUUAACUUCCUUAAGUCCAUCCUUAAAGAUGACGUCUCCUAGAUGAGAACUUCCAUCAACUAGAACAUACUGGUCAUGCUCCAUUUAGUAAUGAAGUCUUUUGAGUCUCCGUUGAAUCAAUAGUAGAUGUAGCGUAUCCACUUCCUAAGCUGUCAAGUGACCAAUUUCACAAUCUUGAGUCAUGAUAGACGAUUAUCAUCAUGGGAUAUCUCCGGAGACAACUUCUCACUUCAUGGUGAAUUGGAAAGGGCAUUGACCUAUCAUAUCAAGGUACUACCCCCUUAAAAUGAGAUAGGUCGGGGGACAGUUUGGACUAGCUCUCACAUUCCGUCUUAGAUGCUACACAUCACAUAGUCUUUUAAAUUCACUGUACCAAGUCUCCUGAUCUGGAGUUGGUUUCAUCACUACGUUCCAACUAUUGGUACCUCUAUCAGAGUUGAAUUGCUUUGCUCUCACAUCCCAUGUAUAACUUUGUAGACUUUGGUGUCACCUGAUUCUCAUAAGCACCACUUAAGCUAUGAGUACCAGCGAUGACCUAUAUCUCCAUCCAUAUUAGCACACUUCAAUGGAACUAUUUCUUGCAUCAAAAACCAAAUUUACCAAACACUUGAGGUCCUUAUCGAUGAUCCAACAUUAACCAAUACUUCUCCUCGUAAAUCCUUUGAUAAGACUACCCCCCUUAAAAAAGGUAACUAGGGGGUUUAAAUGGGUAGUCUAGUCUACCUCUCAAGUGUGUUUCUUAUAAUAAGAUCUUCGAAUACCGAAGAGAAACUCAUGUGCACUGAUAUGUACAAGAACUCUGAAAUUCCUCAUAACACGAGAAACACCAACGCAGUAAAAUAGACAUAACUCCUUUCCUGUUAAUCCAAUAAGGUCUUAGCUUAUACCGUUAGAUACCUUAUCAAAAUCCCUACCACUUUCAUAUAGAACGCUUUCCUUAGUUUCUGUCUUUAAACCUAGGUAAAACAGCAAUACAUGAUAUCCAUCUCGACAACGUCUCAGCACCGAUGCAACAACUUGAAGAACUCAUAUCUCGAGUUACUUAGAUCAUAUGGGGACGAGUCUUACAUGGUUGAAAAGCUUAUGAAGUCCUCCACAACCUGAUGUUAAGUUGGCUGAAAAUAGGAACUAACUAGAACUGUCCAGAUUUUGAACUGUGCAGCAACAGCAACUUGUAGAGGUCAUAACCCAGGUUCCAUUUAUCCGAUAAAGUUGCAGCUUGCAUCGUUGGAAAGCUUAUCAAAAGACCUAAAACCUUAUUGUAGAACCUUUUCCCAAAUUCCAGAGUUACAUUUGUCCAAAACAGUCGGCAACUGAGACUGGUCCUGAUUCCUGACAGCUCAACUGUACCAUCUUGUGAUUUUCAUGAUUCCCAAACCACAACAGCUAUGGGAGUGAUUCUUGCUGUCAGAGAAGGAUCUUGAAGUCUACUACUACCCAGAAUUUUCACAUGAUUUUAUGGUCCUCCGAGAAUAGGGAUUUGAACUGAAGAAGAUAAGUUGCUCCCAAAAGACAAGGACAAAGAAACAAGAGAGACUAGAACCCAACUAUUUAUUUCAUUAAUCCUUAUAUCUUAGACCUAUAAACUAAAUGAAAGUGUGGAGAAACCCACAAGAUCAUUGCACUCAUUACAAAAAUCCAACUCAAACAUAAGCACUUAAGACAAACCAACCAAACAUUGAAGGUUCACGAAGCACACACAUAUACUAGACUCGACUUUUGCCACUAACGUUUAUUACAAAGGGGGACUUCCUACUUCUUAAACGCGGUGUGACUGCAGCGGCAUCCAGGGUAGCAUCUCUUGCGUGGAGUUAAGCGAGGUAUGUCCUCCACCUCAUUGAUCGUAGGUAAUCCACCACGACUUCUCCACUAAUCAAUCUCAUCAAGGGCUUCCUCAUAGUGUUGCCUUACUUCUGCCAAUUCCAGUUGACUGUCUUCCAACUUUUGAUGCAUGACUUGGAUAGUCACAGCCAUCUCCUUUAGUUGUUCAUUCUUCUCCAAGUAGGGGUCAGCCAUCACACAUUGCAAAGUGCCUGGUGGACGACGAGGAAGAUACUUUUGUUUGUCAUUCUUCCUCUCUUCGUAGUGCUUUCCAUGAUAUGCCAGAAGAGCUUGAUGGGCAGCAUCAGAUAUGCUAGCAUGCUUACUGAAACGGUCACUGAGAGACGAAUGAAUGGAUUCCACCACGCGUGAACCAGUAAACUCAUUCCAUCUUGUGAUGUGUGCUUCUGUGCUCUAGUGGCUCUCAUACUUAGGAUGAGUCCACUUAGUGCACUUAUAUUCCACCUUGGCUUGCUGUUCAGGAUAGUGGUCUUGUAGUAUACGCAAAAGCCGAGGGUGAAAGAAAUCUUCCCCACUAAAGGAUGUGGUAAAGUACUCCUUUCACCAACAAAUAUGUCUUGAUGGGACAGGGCAAGCUUCUUCAUACUCUGGUUCUGUUAAGCCAUAGAUACCCCGAGUUAAGCAUGGUCUUCCAGAGUUGUUGCGAGCAAUCUUUUCGUUACGAACCAUCUAUGGAAUUAGAACGAGAGGAAUUUAGAUUAGAAGCAAUAAUUUUACAACAGAAUUAGAUGGUAGGAGCAUAAGAAUUUUAGCAAAUAGCAAGGGUGAGAUAGUAAGCAUGAAUGUAGUGAAGCAAAGAUGACUAAAAUGACCAUUACUAACUAGGCUUGCGUCCUACUGUCAGCAUUGCUCUGAUACCACUUUGUAGCACCCGGUUUUAAGAACAAAACCAGAUACACACCAUAUGUGAGCCCAGGAAGUCAAAUCUCACAUAUAGCCACAAAUAGGGGUAAUAUCAAUAGACAAUGCUUAUAUAUAACGAACUUAGUAUAAAAGAUAUAACCUUAGAUAGCAAACAGCGGAAAGACACUCCGUUCUUCAGGCGAAAGCUCCAAAUCCACAGGGACAACUGACUGGUUGAGCACAAGCCUAAACUCUUUUCCAAGCUUGCAAUCUGGUACCCAUCCGGGAUUUUUAUCCAAAUAAAAUGUAAAGGCAAGCGUAAGUACAUCUCGUACUCAGCAAAAAUAACAUAGGGUUCAUGAGGCUCAAAGGCUAGACAAUGGUUUAACUGCAUGUAGCUUUUAGUUGUCACAAUUUUAGCAUAUGAGUAGCAUCAAGUUGUCAAGUCCCAUAGUAAACUCAUGAUCAGGUAAAGUGAAUAAAGAAUAGCAUAAACAACAUUUUAACAAUAAUAACAUUUAAUGAAUUGCCAUUAGUGUUCAUUUAUUCUGUAUUGGUCCAAGGCCGCUCGUGACCGUGAGCACGGCUCAUAUAUCAUUUUUACACUCUGCAGAGGUUGUACACUUUCACUGUGAGUCGUGAUUUACCCUUUCGCCCGAGGUGAUCAGCCCCUUAGCCCACUCCCUAGGAAGACCGGCAGGGUUCACUAUGAAGCCUUUCAAAGAUUCGUCUAACAAGUUAGGGCCGCUAGGUUUUGUUAGUCAGUCCGUGACUCACCCGCAAGAAUCCACGGUCUGCUAUCCCCCACUUGCGCGACAAGGGUAACCACUAACAAGCUAGAAAAGGUCCUCAUACUGAGCUAAAGCCAGAGCCAUGUAGCCCUCAUAGUUGUACUAUAUGUCCCGGAUGGUCAGAUACAGAUAAGUCCUUAUGGAGAGAAACUAGAGCACCAUAAGAUAGCCCAAUGCUCCAGCCCUCUUUUUCCAACGUUGCUAAAAAGUCAUCUUUUAAUGUUUAUUGCAUAAUCCUUUAGUCAAAUUACAAGAUCAUGGUUUAGUGGAGCACUAGCAUAAGCUACCCAAUGCAUAACCAUAGGUGACAAGGUAUGAGAUCAAUACUAGGAAAUCCUUAUCAAGGAGACACAUGCAAUAUGAAUUGUGUGAUUAAAGUUAUUAGGAAACAAGGAUGAUCCCAUGCUAUACUUGCCUUGAAACUCAGAUCUUCUUUUAGUUCCAAAUCUUCCACAAUCUGCUUCUUGAUCACCACGUAAAAGCUCACCGACUAAACUCAGUCAUCACAUCAACAACAAUCAUCGAGAGGCAAUCAUACAAAGCAAAACAAACCUAUAAUUAGAACAAUACACCAAAAGUAGCCAAUAAAGGUAAAAAUUUUAUAAAACAAAUCUACAUCGCACUACGAUCACAUAGACGUAAAGAUCACAAAAAUCGGAGCUAUAACGAAGAAGUUAUGAUUUUCCUAAGAUUUCCUUUAAUAAAUUAAUUAAAUAGGAUCAUGAAAAUAAAAUGUUGUAAACUUGUAAAACAGUAGCACUAAUCUAUAGAUUACGCGAAAACGAAUCUAACUCAACUUGAACGGAUCAAAACGGAGUUUAAACGAAGAAUAUAUGAAUUUUCUAAUAUUUUCUUUAGAAAAACAAUUAAUUAAUUUGGUUCAUGGAAUUAAAAAGUUUCAAACUAAGAAAACAGUGUUACUAACAUGUAGAUCCUUUGAAUACAAAACCAACGCAAUUUGAACGAGUCUAAACGGAAUUAAGAUGAAUAUUUUAUGAGCAAUAUAAAACCAGUGGCAAUUUGGUAAUUUGCUGAAAACGUAUUUUGAAUCUGAGUACUGAGUUUACGUCUUCAAAGUCGGAAAGCGUAUUUUUGAAAUUACGUUUUGGACUGCGGGUUAGAUCUAUAAAAACGAGGGGGGCUCUUUUGCAAAAAUCGCGGCCGAAGGGGUAUCCUUCGAUCUCGGCCGUUGGAUCUCAAUUCGAUGGUCAAGAUUAGAUCGCAGGGGGGGUACUGAGUUGGCCGGCCGGAGUUGGACGGCCGCGGCGGCUCCAUGGCCGACCUUGGCUGGAGUUGGCCAAUCUGGCGACCCCGAGCGGUAGAACGCGAGCUAAACACAUGGGAUCGCUCAGGAGCUCGGUGCGAACUCACCUGGGGCAAAAACCGCGUGAAGAGAGGCCAGCUAGGGCUUGCGACUGUUGACACUUGCUAACACCACUUGAAUACUAGGUUGUCAUCCCCAGCAUGGCACUAGAGUGUACUAUGGUAUUUAUACGCACACAGAUAAUCCGCAAGUGCACGGAUACCGUUGAAGCUUUUAACCGGUUAAAGGUUUUAUCGUAUCCACAGGGAAACGGGAGAACUGAUCUACGCUCUAACUUAACCUAGAUAGAUAGAUAGGUGUAAAUAGGAAAGAUGGUAGAAUUGAAUAGGAACAAUAUUAAAGGUAAGAUAACAGUGAGUGAUAAUAUGGGAAUAGAGAGUAGAGCAAUCUAGUAUAUGGGCGAUGGUAGCAGAAUAGAGAGCAUAACUAUGGUUUCUCUACUUCAAAGGGGUAUGUCUAUGUCUGGGACGAACCACGUGAUAAGAUUACACCACAAAGGAUGCUUAUCCAUAGGCCGAUAAACCCUACCCGUCCUGCUAACGAGAGGUGGACUACAAAGGACCAACGUAACUAUCACCUACGCGGCCUACCACACGAUCCAGCUAGACAGGGGAUAUCCACAAGUAAUCUAGGUCUAAGGACCACGCUUACACCUAUACUACAACUCUAACCUAUAGCGUCCUAUAGAUUAGAAGUACUCAAAAGAGUUGUGAACCAGAACAUACAUAAUUAGUAAUUGCAUAAUGAAUUAGAAGUAGAUUACCAGAGUCAUCCCAUGAGCAAGCUUGAUUAGAGCUUGAUCAUGACGAAGUACAACCGGAGGAAGAACCGACAGGCCGGCCUCUCCUCUAAUCCUCCUUCGCUCUCCAUCUCGCUACUAUCUAGAUCUACUCUAGUUUAGAGAAGAGAGGAGAGCUCUCAUCUCUAAACCCUAGCUUUUGCUCUGUCUAUGAAUAAUGAAUAAUGAUCAAGGGGUGCCUCCUCCAGGGGCCAGGGGGUCUGGUUAUAUAGUCCCCUCAAGUGAACCUAGGCCGUUGGAUCAAAACCGACAUUGAUUGAACGGUUAUUCUUGAUCCUUUAGGUCGGUGGAGAUCUCCCGAGAGAAAUAGUCCCGAUUGGGCUCCAGAGGUGUGCGGGCGCCCAGGGCAGGAGGGCGGGCGCCCUGCCUCUGGCCCCGUUCGGUCUCCGCUUGCUUCUCGUGGCUUCUGGAGUCUUCUAGAUGUAAGAUAAUUGUGCGGCACGUUAAUAUCUCUAUGUAAUCCCGACGUGUGGGCCUUUCUUCCGUAUUUCCUGAUAACCCCCUGCAGAAAUAGACAAACACCAAAACUCGUGGAAUUCUGUCAGAUAAAACCCUAAGUCUAGAUGUUGAUUUCAUUUGGAUUCUUUUCUUUGUUUAUUUCAUAAUUAAAUUUGAUACUUAAGGACCGUCAACAAACUCCCCCAAGCUUACGUCUUGCUCGUCCCUGAGCAAGGAUAGACUCAGCAAUGGAUUAGAAGUUGUUGCAAUAUCUUAAAAAUUUGACGGUACACAUGCUUUUAAAUAAGAUCUCAUCUCUGAGUUAGAGUAAACUGUCAAGAACUAAAACUUACUUACUUUACCUUUCACCAUGGGACUUGUAACCGUCACUUCCAUCUUGAGCAGUUAAAAGAUAGAACAGUCUAGUCAAGUGUCAUGUCUCUUAUUCUUGAUCAGCUAUAACUCUGGAGUUUUUUGCAGAUUUUCAAAUAAAACUCAGAGAUUCCUUGUAUGACUCUCUCAUAUCUCUCUUUUGUGGUAUUUCUGGAUCCUUACCAAGGCAGUGAUGGUAUAUGCCUUCUCUCAAUAUAUGUAGUAUUUGUGGUAUGAAGUAUAGUGACAUUGUCUUCUCUCUCACCCUACUCUAAUAAGGCUUUAAUAUCUGGAGCUCAUAGGUGGGAGAUAAAAUAUACAUACUUACAAGACAUUUAUUGUAUAGUCAAACCAUGGAUCCAAAGAAACAAAUCAAUAAGCCAAAUCAAGAUGUGCAUGUGUGGCGAAUGAAUGGUGUAUGGUGAUGAUGGUGAUAACAAUGGUGAAAGUCUAAUUCUACUUUUGCUCUUUCGAGGGGAUACAUACCUUCCUUGCUUUUUGAAACUUUAUGAGGAGAAUGAGAUGCUCUUCUUUUUCUUUCCUCUCAGGUGGGUAUCUUGUACCCCUAAUUCUAUUGUCGGACACUUGUCCAUUUUUACCUCUCGUCUCACUUUUUCUUUCUUUCGAGGUUCCGGGCACUUGCCCCUUUUUAUUUCCUCGUUUAUAUAUUUAUUUAUUUUUUCUUCUCUUUUCUUUUUUUUCAGAGCACUCAUAUCUUGAGAUAAUAUAGCGAGUGGUAGUAGCAAGAUAACUUGAGCAUUUAUUUCACAAGGGAAAACAGAAAUAUUUUUGGCUAUUCUCUCCCGGAUUAGGAGUAGAAUAUUUUUGGGUGGUUCUGGAGAUGGAUGUGGAUGGUACUUCCAGAGUAAAAGUAGCAUAUAGGAGUGAACGUGCAAGUGAAUCUUGAUUUAACCACAUGACAAGCUCCUAAGGGUCUACACAGCUUGACCACACUCAAUGCUCAUAAGCAGUAAAUAAUAAAUGUGUGGCUCAAAGUCUAGCAAGCAUGUAUAUAUGGCUGUGGUAGGAAUUUAAACUCUCAUCAUACAGGAACUUAUCAUGCAAUAUUUUAAAGAUUUUUCAAAGAUAAAAUUCUCCAGAAUUCUAGCAUCUCUAGGAACAGAUAAACAGCAGCUCAACCUUCCCAUAUCAUAUCCGUUAACAACUUAGAUUUCAGAUCAAGUUUUCAUCCCACAAGUUUAGAUCUAGAGCAAGCUUUAAAUUAUAACAGUUAUGUCUAAACUUGAGAGAGAACUUCAAAUUUGCAAAUUAGGCAGAGCAACUAUUCAUUAUAUCCAUGCUAGAGUUUUAUUAUUAAGAUUCAGAUUAGCGUAGCCACUUUAUUUAUUUAUUAAACACACUAAGCAAAAGAUAUAUAUAUAUAUAUAAGCACAAAAUCUGUAUUUGGUUUUUCAUAGUUUAUGUAUUUUAAUAUUCUAACAUAAUAUAAGUAUAAAGAUAGGUAGAAAUACUUAGCGAGAUAAAUGGGGGUGCUCUCCCCCAAGCUGAAUUUUGACGUAAUUUCUCUUGAUGUAGCUAGCAGCUGGCAGAGGUGUAUUUGAAAGUCAGCAGCAUUCUGACAGCGAUUAGAAUGUCCUCUGUCUGCUAGUCUUUUUUAUUCUUAAAUUCUAUGGAGCUCAAAUAGACAACAAAGCUUGUAGAACUAAUUAAGUGUUAGCAUAAAUAUCUAGCCUUCAUCAUGUUGAGCUUCCUCAAUAAAUAUUACUCCUUGUUUUUAUAUUUUUAUUUUAUAAAGCAGAAAAGAAAUAUUUAUUUUAUUUUUACGCCACCACAGUGAAGGUACUUAUGGGUUUUAUGCCACUCGUAUACUCACAUGGGUCUUAGUAUUUUUUAACAUUUUUAUUUUCUUUUCUUUUCAAGAUAGCAUGAUUAACUGAUAAUCUAUUUAAGGAAAGUAAAUAAUUAAAGGGAAAAGGGAAUGCAGAAAGGAUAAAUAUAGAUAACUACCGAUAUUACCUUUCGGCGAGGGUUCAAUGUUUUAAGUCUUCUUAACAAGACUUCUCACCGUGUUCAUUCUUCAGGUGCGUCAUUUGAUUCAGGUGCGGACCUUGACGUCUGCACCUCUUCGUUUGCCCUGCAGUUCGAAGUGUGGCGUUGGAAGUAUCUUGCUCAGUGUGUUUGUGCUCGUAGAUCCAGGUCCUUGCUUGAAGAGUGAUGGUACAGUAUCACCUUGUGGAAGCUUUCCUUUCUUAGCGGUUGUGCAUCGUGUUUGUGGCACCCACCAUGGAUCAUCUCUCUAUGAUGAAUGAGCUAUGUCCUUCUUGUGCAAAUUGUUAAACUUCAUGUGUCACUCUCUUCGUCUCUGAUGUGAGUUUAUCUCAGGACUUCCCAAAUCGAUAUUGAAAGUUUUUCUACAGGGGUUAGUCCGAUAAAAAUAUACCAAUGUCUACACAAGCAGUUUUUAGUUCAAUAACCGAACUAGACUCCAUGUCUAAUCAGAUUAAGGAAGGUUGUUUAACCUAAGCACCACGCUUAAUUUAAAAGCCAAUAGAAGUAUGUGUGGUACUUCCAAACUAACACUUGCUAGUAAAUAGACAAAGGUAACAUGACAGCAUUUAUAGAGAUCUACUCAAGUGGAGAUGAAGUAGUGUGCUCAGUAUUUAACAAAUUGAGCAUGUCUUAAAGGUAGGGACAACCAACAUAGCAACAUGGCAAAGGAUGUUUUUAUGUAAAGUACUGCCCCAAGUUUGAAUUUUGCAGAAUUCAAGUUUGGAUGAAUUUAAUUCAGUGUUGCAUGAUGAUUGUUGACGGUCCUUAAGUAUCAAAUUUAAUUAUCAAAUAAACAAAGAAAAGGAUCCAAACGAAAUCAACAUCUAGACUUAGGGUUUUAUCUAAC